rnacentral:rRNA from 1 species
AAUAGAUACCCCGGUAGUCCACGCCGUAAACGAUGAGUGCUAAGUGUUGGGGGGUUUCCGCCCCUCAGUGCUGCAGCUAACGCAUUAAGCACUCCGCCUGGGGAGUACGGUCGCAAGACUGAAACUCAAAGGAAUUGACGGGGGCCCGCACAAGCGGUGGAGCAUGUGGUUUAAUUCGAAGCAACGCGAAGAACCUUACCAGGUCUUGACAUCCCGGUGACCACUAUGGAGACAUAGUUUCCCCUUCGGGGGCAACGGUGACAGGUGGUGCAUGGUUGUCGUCAGCUCGUGUCGUGAGAUGUUGGGUUAAGUCCCGCAACGAGCGCAACCCUUAUUCUUAGUUGCCAUCAUUCAGUUGGGCACUCUAAGGAGACUGCCGGUGAUAAACCGGAGGAAGGUGGGGAUGACGUCAAAUCAUCAUGCCCCUUAUGACCUGGGCUACACACGUGCUACAAUGGACGGUACAAACGGUUGCCAACCCGCGAGGGGGAGCUAAUCCGAUAAAACCGUUCUCAGUUCGGAUUGUAGGCUGCAACUCGCCUACAUGAACG